AUUGAACGCUGGCGGCAGGCCUAACACAUGCAAGUCGAACGGUAACAGGAAGAAGCUUGCUUCUUUGCUGACGAGUGGCGGACGGGUUAGUAAUGUCUGGGAAACUGACUGAUGGAUGGGGAUAACUACUGGAAACUGUUACUAAUACCGCAUAACGUCGCAAAACCAAAGAUCUUGACCUUCGAGCCUCUUGCCUUCGGAUGUGUCAAGAUGGGAUUAGCUAGUAGUUGGGGUAAAGGCUUACCUAGGCGACGAUCCCUAACUGGUCUGAGAGGAUGACCAGCCACACUGGAACUGAGACACGGUCCAGACUCCUACGGGAGGCAGCAGUGGGGAAUAUUGGACAAUGGGCGAAAGCCUGAUGCAGCCAUGCCGCGUGUAUGAAGAAGGCCUUCGGGUUGUAAAGUACUUUAAGCGGGGAGGAAGGGAGUAAAGCUAAUACCUUUACUCAUUGACGUUACCAGCAGAAGAAGCACCGGCUAACUCCGUG
rnacentral:rRNA from 1 species